rnacentral:SRP_RNA from 14 species
GUGCGCGUGCCCGAACCACAUGGACGCUGCCGUGAUCCCCCUGUGGUAAAGCUUGGUCUGCUGGGGGGAGCGGAAAGGGUGACGCAACGGCCGAGGCUGGAAGAGAGAGCAGUAGUCCCAGAAGACGGCGAACUGCGGUGGCGGGUCGCGAACCGCGGAC